AUGCCGGCAGGGGUAAAUUCUACCUCUAUUGUACUUAUUCCUAAAAUUCCUAACCCUACAUGUUUGACGCAUUACAGGCCAAUAAGUCUUUGUAAUGUCAUUUAUAAAGUUAUAUCUAAGUGUCUUGUGAACCGUCUAAGGCCUCUCCUUGAUGAUAUUGUCUCUUCGGAGCAAAGUGCGUUUAUUCCUGGAUGUAUGAUCACUGACAAUGCACUGGUGGCCUUCGAAUGCAUUCAUCACAAACAAGAAAAGGACCCAACGAAAGGUUUCUGUGCAUACAAGCUUGAUCUCUCUAAGGCGUAUGGUAGGGUGGACUGGAAGUUCUUGGAGCAGGUGAUGCAAAAGUUGGGUUUCUCUCAACGAUGGGUAGACUGGAUUAUGUCUUGUGUCACAUCGGUGAGGUAUUCUGUCAAACUUAAUGGGACCCUCUUGGAUUCAUUUGCAGCGUCGCGUGGGCUUCGGCAGGGUGAUCCUCUCUCUCCCUUCUUGUUCCUUUUUGUGGCUGAUGGCUUGUCAGCAAUUCUAAAGCAUUAUGUGGCUGCGGGUGAUAUUUCUCCGGUGAAGGUGUGUAGAAGAGCCCCUGGUAUUUCACACCUACUGUUUGCUGAUGAUACAUUGCUAUUUUUUGAGGCCUCACGUGGCCAGGCUGAAAAAGUUAAAAUGGCUUUGGAUAUUUAUGGCAAUGCUACAGGUCAAAGUUUG
rnacentral:rRNA from 1 species